rnacentral:lncRNA from 1 species
UUUUUUAUGCCUUGAGGUCAAGGACUUUUAAGUGAUCAAAUCUUACAUGCCCGAGGGCUUAGAACUUAGAUCUGACUUGAACUAUGAAAACAUAUUCAAAUCGGAUUCAAGCGCUGAGAGAGUCUUUUAAUAGCCAUAUUACUAGAAAUAACUUGAAUACAACUUGUAGUAUACAACAUAUUGCUAGGCUAAUGAAUGAAAAGACAAAAACAAAGAGGAUCGGGCAAGGCUGAUCGUCUUGCAACUUCCUAUCUUUGUGGUUUAUCAGGGGGUUUGAAAGCUUAGAAAAGGGGUUGGGAAAUGAGUUUAUAGAAAGAAAUCGAUACUACAGCAAGAGUUGAACAGGGUAGCAGAGCUAUUACAAAGGGUUUAUCCCGAAAGGGAUGAAGGCUUGGGCUGACUACAGCUUCGUUUUGAAGGCAAAUCUGGCUUUGAGCAGAGUUUGUGCUUGUAUUUUUUGGUUUGUUUGAGUGUCAUUAUUCCUGGUUUCUCUUUCUUCUUUUAUAGACAACUCGGCUUGGCCUCUUGUAGCAGCAACCUUGCCCGAAUGCAGCUUGAAGGGUAGUGACUCAUCAGCUAUUUUACUUGAACUGCCACUAUAAAGUACUUUAUGGGUUGUAUAGCUGGUCGUCUAUACCACUUGGCCUUUGGGUAGGUGAGCAAGUGGUUCACAUGGUCUGCACCUAGUCAGAAACGGGUUUCUCCUGCCUUCUGGACUUCGGCUGGGCUUUGACUGGGCUUUUGAGUUCCUCUUCCUUUUAGGCUGCCUUUUGGGCCAACUCCCCCUGAGCCCAAAGUUCAAGUUUUGAUUCAAACAGUGCCCCAUUCAAUUGAUAUUUAGCCUGCAAUUCUAGGCGCCAAUAUUGAUUGAAUAGCUGCAUGCGCCUGCACCCUUGCUCUUGGAACUUGUAUCUUCUGGUUGAGAUUAACGCCACCCAGAGUCUCUCGAUCUUCCCACGACCCUUGAACUACUUUAUGAUAUUCUUUAUAAAUUUCAGCUUUCUCAACAAAUCAUCCUCGAUCUCAUCUUUUAUCCACCCAAGUAUCUCUGCCUCCUGAGUUUUCUCUUAAACACUGUGAAAUGAGUUCUUCUGAUUUCAAGUGGGAUUUCCUAAAAUUCCCUUUUCGUGAGAAAAAGAGUUUUCAUCAGAUAACCACUAUCUUCAACACCUUUGGUCAAACAUCCCGCUAUCCCCAACACCCUUGGUCAGGCGGUUUCCUCACGAAGGCUUGCCUUCCUGCUCGCUGUCGUGAUAAGUUAGGCUUCACCAUCAUAUAUGGUGAUGACUCUAUCUGAGGAUCCUCUACCAGGCGCGUCUUGGCCACACAACCCGAUCACCUGAUCGGGUCUUAUCUAGGAAGACAUCGGAUAACCAGCUGAAAACAACAUUGCAUCCAGAAGGAAUGGAAUGUAAUACGUCGGAUUUGAGUUUGUUGUAAAUUUCACCAAUUUGUCGAAAUGAAAUAAACAUUAUUUGCAACUUUUUGUCUUUCUGUCUUCUUGAAUGAUUGGUGAACAUACACUGUACAAUGGUAUCUCGAAGCCUGCUUUACCUUGCAUCCUCUUCAAUGUAACAAUCUCUAACGUCCUAUAAUGUAGGACAAUAUUUUUUCAAGAAUUUAACAUUAAUGGGAUGCUUCUGCCCCUUCCCUUCAAGGUCCGCCAAGUAGUAUCCUCCCUUGUCCAAUACUCGACUAAUAAUGAAAGGACCUUCCCAUGUCGGGCUCCACUUUCCAAAGCCUCUAAGCUGAGCUCCUAGAGGGAGGACUGUCUUCCACACUAAAUUUCCCUUCUUGAAAGACUUCAUCUUCACCUUUUUGAUGAACCAGGAAUCCCAAGAAGUUGCCCGCUCUCACUCCAAACGCACACUUCUUUGGAUUCAUCUUCAAUUUGUGGACCCUCAUUCUUGUCAAUGCCUGCCUGAGGUCUAUCAGAUGCUGCUAUUCUGUCUUGGAUUUCACCAUGAUGUCAUCAAUAUACACCUCCAUAUUAUGGCCAAUCAGAUCAUGAAAGAUGGCAUUCAUUACUCUUUGGUAGGUUGCACCAGCAUUCUUGAGCCCGAAUGGCAUGACCAGAUAUUCAUAUGCCCCCAUAUGCCUAGGGCACCUAAAAGCUGUUUUAUGUAUAUCUUCCGGAGCCAUAUUUAUCUGAUUAUACCCGGCAUUUCCAUCCAUAAAAGAUAAGACUUUGUGCUUUGCUACUGCAUCUAUGGAUAGAUCGGCCAUGGGCAUGGGAUACUCAUCUUUUGGUGUAGCGCCAUUAAUAUUUCUGUAAUCAACACAACAUCGCACUGCUUUUGUUAUAGCUUUUAAAAUGGGUACAAUGUUGGCUAACCACUCCACAUAUUUGGUUGGCCUGAUAAAUCUGGCUUUUACUAGCCUCUUAAUCUCUUCUUUGACCUUCUCUUCUAUCUCCUUCGACAUCCUUCGUGGUGCUUGCUUAACCGGCUUAUAUCCUUCCUUGAUGGGCAUUCUAUGUUCCACCAAGGUUGCAUCUAAACCUGGCAUCUCAGUAUAAUGCCAAGCAAAACAAUCUUUGAAUUCUUGCAAGAGACAGAUAAUUUUUGCCCGAUCCUCACUCUCCAAUAAACCACUGAUUUGUAUUGGUCUUGGAUCCUCCUUUGUUCCUAGCUCAAUCACUUCCAAAGGAUCUUGGACCUCUGGUGGUGGCUUAUCAGGUUCUGCACAUAAAAAUUCGACUAGCUCCAGGCUCUCGGGCAGGUCGUCUGGCCCAUCUAGGUCAUAUAUGCACUCGGCCAUUUGAAUGGCCCUUUCCAAUUCUUCUCGACAAGAUUCCUCCUUGCUUUCAUCUUGGCUGGUUGAAGCUCCUACCUGCCAUUCCUGCUCUUCUUUGUCUAAGAGCUCAUUUUCUUGUCUUCUUCCUUUCCCAUACAUUAACAGUCUUUUAAUCAGGGAUCUGACUGCCAUUUUCUGAUCCUUCUUUUUUUGUUCUAUCAUUGAUGACGUAGGGGUGUUGGGAUGAUACAAGGUCUAUCCCACUCCUCUUUAGUAAGGAGCAUUCCUUGUUCUAGAAGCUUUUGGGCCGUCACCUUGGUAUGACAACCGUUCUCAUCUGCUCUUGAACAUUUCAAGAAUCCUACGUUGGGAUUGUAGAAACUUGCUUCCGCCACAUUAGCUGUGGGAAGAAAUGGCCGUGAUUCGGCCUCUACCAUCUCCCAAAAGCCUGGCCCUUCUGUUUUUGCCUCAUGAUAAACAACCACUUGUUAAUGUAGAGUGGAGGGUAUAGCAAGACUUUGGUGGAUCCAAUCUCUUCCGAGUAAGGCUCCAUAGGUGGAUGUGCAGUCCACCACAAAGAAUGCCAGCAUGAUCUGUUUAGACCCCAAAUCUACUUCUAAUGGCAAUAUCUCAUGAGUCUUGGUGAUAGCGCCCGAGAAACUAGAAACUGUGAGGUCUGUAGGAAUAAGAUCCUCUAUGCCUCUUCCUAACUUUUUCAUCUGCUUGGCCGGCAGUACAUUAACAGCUGCUCCUCCAUCAAUCAAAAUCUUUUUGAAGGGCACUCCCUUCAAAUGAGCUGUCACAUAUAUGGGCUUCAGAUGAUUGGCAAGUGAAAUGUUCGGGCGGCUGAACACCAUCUUGUCUGUAUAUAUCCUUAAAGGACCCUCCUUGGGUGUUUCAGAUGAUUCAACUUUUCCUGAUUCUCUUUCUUCAGCUAUCUCCACAUUGACAUGAGCCAUCAUUGAUUCAGUUGCUACGUAAUCCCCUUCCAUGGUGGCAGGUUGAUUUGGUUGGGCACCAAACAUGGCGGAUAGCACAUACGCCAUGUUUAUAUGAAAGUUGCUAGGCUCCGACAGUUCUUCUUUCUUGCUCCCAAUCUGGUCAUGAACUCAUCCAACCAAGCCAUUGCAUCUAGUGGAAGCAGUGGUUCUGGUGCCCCCUCUAGUUGAUUCACACCUGAAUAUGAUGUUUGCUUUGGAACUUCCCUGAAAGGAUCCACCACUGACAGAGAAGGUGGUUUCCUUUCAGGUGAGACAGUUCCAAAACAAAUAGGCUGCUCUGUCUUCCAUCCGGGAGUUGGCACCAUAACCAUAUCUUCUUGAGCUCUCCUCAAGAUUCUAUAUUUCCCAGGGUGUAGGCUUUGUGGCACAUGGUUUCCUUCGCCUUCAGUCUUGCUAUUAGCCUUUUCUACCUUCUUCUUACUCCUCCAGCGGAGCUGACUACUCCCCCAUAUGACGUUUUCUCCAACUUUUGAUUUUUGGAUGCUUCAGAUGUCGCAGGGGUCUUUAAGGAGUUCAUGUAGGCUUUGUGUUGCAUUUGGACCCUUCUGACCAUGGAAGCUCCCAUUUGUUUAACAGGCUGCCCAUUCUUUCCAACCACGUACCAUUUUCUCCCAAGGCGGGCAGGGUUAUCUCUCUGGACAAGAUUUGUUUCCUAUCAUUCCUCUUUGCUUCUCUUCCCGUAUGGCCGUACUGAGAAUGCUCUACACCCUUCCCUUUUGGCCUUUUAGCUUCCUCAUCUUCUGCUUCCUUAGAAACCUCAUGAUUUCGAAAUACUUCUGAUAAAGCUUUUGGUUGGGAAUCACCUCCUAACCGCUGAAAAACACUCUGGGAAGUGUCUCUUCCUGUUACCCGCCUGGCUCUUUCGCGGGCUUCUUUUCUUUUUUCUUCUUCCUUCUUCCUGAUCAGCUCAUGAUCCAUGAGGAUUCAUGCGGGUGGUAUUUCGAGCUCACACUCGCAUUGGCAUUUGCUGCACAGAACUAUCCCUUUGAUUAUGGCCGCUUUUGGAUGUUCAGGCAACCUGACCACCCCUUUUAUGGGUUUGUCAGCCAAUCUUCCUUCUUCUACUUCCCUUGUAACUUUUUCUUUCCCCUUCUCAGCCCAUGCCAUACUAAUCAUAUUCACUGGGGCCUCUGAGAAGGGAUCUAUAGUUUUGUCUGCCAUUGCUUCUUCCGGCUGACUGGUUUUAACUUUCUCUUUUUCCCUAUCAUCAUUUUCCCCAAACUGAGGUAAGGAUGUAGGAAUAGUUGGUCUUUUAACCAUGUUUGCUUCUUUUCUGAAGCAUGUGGAGGCGUUCUCCAAUCUUUGCAACAUCUGUAAAAAGGUAGUUUGCAAAUCUUCUAGCAUGUUUGACAUAUGUCUUUUGCUCAAGUAAAUCCCAAUGGGCAUGCCAAAACUAUGUUCGUGGCGGGAAUUACCGUAGAUGAUGUUUCCUGGCCGACGAGCACACAGCUCCCCGAGAGGUCGGCGCCGGUUGAUGUUUUCUGUCGGGCUUUUGCUUCCUUGGCGGGCUUGUCGGGCAAAGCCUGUCGGGCAAGGCUUUGUCAGACAAGGCUGAAAGAGAAGGACAGAGUUAACUUUGAAAGGUGUCUUUGUGGGGCCUUAGGUGUAGGCCUUGAGGCUCACAAUCAAGAUUAAUUUUUAAGUGCUCAGGCGUGCCACUACCAUCUUCAGCAUGGCAGAUGUAAAACGGAUGUUGAGUUCUGAUUUUAUAUAUACCCGAGAGACUAUAUUAGUUAUGACAGGUGCCUUUGUAGGGCCUUAGGUAUAGGCCUUGAGGCUUCCCGUUAAUAACUAACUUUAGUACUCGAAUAUAUAAGGUUCGUGUUCUUGGUUAUAUGAGUUUUAUAACUAUUAUACUUCUGAUUACCUGAGCCCGAGGAACAGAAUGAAUCCAAAUAGGUGCCUUUGUGGGGCCUUAGAUGUAGGCCUUGAGGCUUCCUAUCAGAAUUAACUCUAUACUCACACGUUCUAGCCCGAAGAGCAGAAUGAAUCCAAAUAGGUGCCUUUGUGGGGCCUUAGAUGCAGGCCUUGAGGCUUCCCAUCAGAAUUCAUUUUAUACUCAACGUUCUAGCCCGAGGAACAGAAUGAAUCUAAAUAGGUGCCUUUGUGGGGCCUUAGAUGCAGGCCUUGAGGCUUCCCAUCAGAAUUCAUUCUAUACUCAACGUUCUAGCCCGAGGAACAGAAUGAAUCCAAAUAGGUGCCUUUGUAGGGCCUUAGAUGUAGGCCUUGAGGCUUCCCAUCAGAAUUCAUUCUGUACUCAAACGUUCUAGGGUCAUCAUAAUAUAAUAGAAAUAAAACUAAGUGAUAUGUCGAUUACUUGCGCCUCAAGUAACUUCGGACUUCUUGUUUAUCAAAGCUUGUCGUGGAUGGGUUAAGUCCACAUAAGGUUCUUUUUUAUGCCUUGAGACCAAAGACUUUUGAGUGAUCAAAUCUUACAUGCCCGAGGGCUUAGAACUUAGAUCUGACUUGAACUGUGAAGACAUAUUCAAAUCGGAUUCAAGCGCUGAGAGAGUCUUUUAAUAGUCAUAGUACUAGCAAUAACUUGAAUACAACUUGCAGUACACAACAUAUUACUAGGGUAAUGAAUGAAAAGACAAAAACAAAGAGGGUCGGGCAAGGCUGAUUGUCUUGCAACUUUCUAUCUUUGUGGUUUAUCAGGGGGUUUGAAAGCUUAGAAAAUGGGUUGGGAAAUGAGUUUAUAGAAAGAAAUGGAUACUACAGUAAGAGUUGAACAGGGUAGCAGAGCUAUUACAAAGGGUUUAUCCCGAAAGGGAUGAAGGCUUGGGCUGACUACAGCUUCGUUUUGAAGGUAAAUCUGGCUUUGAGCAGAGUUUGUGCUUGUAUUUUUUGGUUUGUUUGAGUGUCAUUAUUCCUGGUUUCUCUUUCUUCUUUUAUAGACAACUCGGCUUGGCCUCUUGUAGCAGCAACCUUGCCCGAAUGCAGCUUGAAGGGUAGUGACUCAUCAUCUAUUUUACUUGUACUGCCACUAUAAAGUACUUUAUGGGUUGUAUAGCUGGUCAGUCUAUACCACUUGGCCUUUGGGUAGGUGAGCAAGUGGUUCACAUGGUCUGCACCUAGUCAGAAACAGGCUUCUCCUGCCUUCUGGACUUCGGCUGGGCUUUGACUGGGCUUUUGAGUUCCUAUUCCUUUUAGGCUGCCUUUUGGGCCAACUCCCCCCGAGCCCAAAGUUCAAGUUUUGAUUCAAACAA